rnacentral:rRNA from 1 species
UGGGGAAUCUUGCGCAAUGGGGGGAACCCUGACGCAGCGACCCCCCGUGCGGGACGGAGGCCUUCGGGUCGUAAACCGCUUUCAGCAGGGAAGAGUCAAGACGGUACCUGAAUAAGAAGCCCCGGCUAACUACGUGCCAGCAGCCGCGGUAAUACGUAGGGGGCAAGCGUUAUCCGGAAUUACUGGGUGUAAAGGGAGCGUAGGCGGCACGCCCAGCCAGAUGUGAAAGCCCGAGGCUUAACCUCGCGGAUUGCAUUUGGAACUGGCGAGCUAGAGUACAGGAGAGGAAAGCGGAAUUCCUAGUGUAGCGGUGAAAUGCGUAGAUAUUAGGAAGAACACCAGUGGCGAAGGCGGCUUUCUGGACUGAAACUGACGCUGAGGCUCGAAAGCGUGGGGAGCAAACAGGAUUAGAUACUCUGGUAGUCCACGCCGUAAACGAUGAGUGCUAGGUGUCGGGGAGGAAUCCUCGGUGCCGCAGCUAACGCAAUAAGCACUCCACCUGGGGAGUACGACCGCAAGGUUGAAACUCAAAGGAAUUGACGGGGGCCCGCACAAGCGGUGGAGCAUGUGGUUUAAUUCGACGCAACGCGAAGAACCUUACCAAGUCUUGACAUCCUGCGACGGUUCUGGAAACAGAACUUUCCUUCGGGACGCAGAGACAGGUGGUGCAUGGUUGUCGUCAGCUCGUGUCGUGAGAUGUUGGGUUAAGUCCCGCAACGAGCGCAACCCUUAUGGUCAGUUACUACGCAAGAGGACUCUGGCCAGACUGCCGUUGACAAAACGGAGGAAGGUGGGGAUGACGUCAAAUCAUCAUGCCCCUUAUGAUUUGGGCUACACACGUGCUACAAUGGCGUAAACAAAGGGAAGCGAACCUGCGAGGGUGGGCAAAUCCCAAAAAUAACGUCCCAGUUCGGACUGUAGUCUGCAACCCGACUACACGAAGCUGGAAUCGCUAGUAAUCGCGGAUCAGCAACGCCGCGGUGAAUGCGUUCCC